CUGGUUUACAUGAUGAGUAAAACAAAAAAUCACCAUCUUUCGGCUGAUAGCUGUGAUGAUUUGUUUUUAUCUGAGUAGAUACCAG
rfam:Ficedula albicollis isolate OC2 chromosome 7, whole genome shotgun sequence.